CAGCACAGCCCUGACUCUGCAGCUCUGGAAGAGGAGCCCCAGCCCUGGGAUUCCCAGGUGUUUCCAUUCAGUGAUCAGCACUGAAGACAAAAGACUUAUCAUGGAGUUCGGGCUGAGCUGGGUUCUCCUUGUUGCCAUUUUAAAAGGUGUCCAGUGUGAGGUGCAGCUUGUGGAGUCUGGGGGAGGCUUGGUACAGCCUGGGGGGUCCCUGAGACUCUCCUGUGCAGCCUCUGGAUUCACCUUCAGUAGCUAUGCUAUGCACUGGGUCCGCCAGGCUCCAGGGAAGGGACUGGAAUGGGUAUCAGCUAUUAAUAGUGGUGGGGGUAGCACAUACUAUGCAGACUCCGUGAAGGGCAGAUUCACCAUCUCCAGAGAAAAUGCCAAGAACACACUGUAUCUUCAAAUGAGCAGUCUGAGAGCUGAGGACACGGCUGUGUAUUACUGUGCAAAAGACACAGUGAGGUGA